ACUUUUCUAGUAUAAAUUUUAGUACCUGUGACUUCCAAUCACACGGUCUUGGUUAAAGUCCAAGGAAGAGUA
rnacentral:tRNA from 1 species